CUAUCAGUUGCUUGUUGGUCUUCGGUGAUUUCGGAGACUGCAGUUUGUCGAUCGUAUUCGGUCAUUAUUCUUUAUUUUUUUAGUCUUCUCAGUCAAUGUGAAAAUAACGCGAUUAUUGUCGAAGCUUCGUUAAAUAAGUAAUCGAUCUCUUUAUGAUAAAUUUAACAUCGCAGAAUAAGUCGUAACUAAGUAUUCGCGAAAAUGUCGGAAGGCGACAUGUUUAAAGAGAUCACAGAGCAUCGCGACGAGCUGUCGGAUGAUGCCCAACGAAAAAUCGUCGAACAGUGGGAAAUUUUGCUGAAGAAAUACGUUUCUACUCAGUAUAAUUGGAUGGAUGUGCUCAACAGUUUAUGUGUGUUACUCAUAGCAGUGGUUCUGUUUAUUUUUGUUUUUGAUUCUUCUUGCAGUACGUACAUCGAAUGCAGCACAAGUUAAAGAAUUAUGCAAGUUAAUGGAAACAUUUGUAAAAACAUUAGUUUAUUUAUUUUCUGCAAAAUUGUAUGUACAAAUGAAGAGCGCGUUUUUAACCACAUAACUUUUUACACUGGGUUGUGGUUCAGCAAUUUUAUUGACUUUAUAUACACAUCAUAAAUAGAUAUCUGUACCACUGACACGUUGAGGACAAAGCGCUAGAUAUUACAGCUACUUAAUCAAUUUUCCUCUAUUUAUGUUUAGAUCUAUUUAGAAAGAUGCUCUCAUGUCAUCAUAUCAAAUUCGUUACUGUCGUUAUAGCCGUUUAUUAACUGCACAUGAGAUACAAAAUUGCAAACAAUUUAUUGUUCAGCAUUACAAUGUCUUUCUAAUUUGUAUUUCUUUUUUUCAGUGUUCUUCGGUUAUAAGCUGUACAAAAGUCUUUCGGAACGUGAAAGGAAAAGGGAAGAGAAGAAGAAAAACAAACAGAUGAAGAAGAAGAAGUAGAUAAAAGUCGAGUUUUUUUUUUAAUUGAAUGUUUUGUGUGAACUGAUGUUGCAUUUUCGAUAAAAAUUUAUGCAACAGUGACUGGUGUACAAUAAAACAACAUUCCUUAUAUUUAAUUUUAACAAUAUUUUGUUAUUAAAGAUGCAUAUAUUUAUAAGAAA